AUUGAACGCUAGCGGGAUGCCUUACACAUGCAAGUCGAACGGAGUGGCGAACGGGUGAGUAAUGUAUCGGAACGUGCCCAGUCGCGGGGGAUAACUACGCGAAAGCGUAGCUAAUACAGCAUACUAUUUGAGCGGGCGGUAUUGGUUUAGCUAGUUGGUGGGGUAACGGCUGACCAAGGCGACGAUCCGGAGCUGGUUUGAGAGGACGACCAGCCACACUGGGACUGAGACACGGCCCAGACUCCUACGGGAGGCAGCAGUGGGGAAUUUUGGACAAUGGGCGAAACCCGGAUCCAGCCAUCCCGCGUGUGCGAAGAAGGCCUUCGGGUUGUAAAGCACUUUUGGCAGGAAAGCGGUACCUGCAGAAUAAGCACCGGCUAACUACGUGCCAGCAGCCGCGGUAAUUC
rnacentral:rRNA from 1 species